rnacentral:rRNA from 1 species
AGAGUUUGAUCAUGGCUCAGAUUGAACGCUGGCGGCAUGCUUUACACAUGCAAGUCGAACGGCAGCACGGGGAGCUUGCUCCCGGGUGGCGAGUGGCGCACGGGUGAGUAAUACAUCGGAACGUGUCCUGUUGUGGGGGAUAACUGCCCGAAAGGGUGGCUAAUACCGCAUGAGACCUGAGGGUGAAAGCGGGGGAUCACAAGACCUCGCGCAAUUGGAGCGGCCGAUGCCCGAUUAGCUAGUUGGUGAGGUAAAGGCUCACCAAGGCGACGAUCGGUAGCUGGUCUGAGAGGACGACCAGCCACACUGGGACUGAGACACGGCCCAGACUCCUACGGGAGGCAGCA